UACGUAGGGGGCAAGCGUUGUCCGGAAUCAUUGGGCGUAAAGAGCGUGUAGGCGGCUCGGUAAGUCCGCUGUGAAAGUCCAGGGCUCAACCCUGGAAUGCCGGUGGAAACUGUCGAGCUAGAGUCCGGAAGAGGCGAGUGGAAUUCCUGGUGUAGCGGUGAAAUGCGCAGAUAUCAGGAGGAACACCAAUGGCGAAGGCAGGUCUCUGGGCCACUACUGACGCUGAGAAGCGAAAGCAUGGGGAGCGAACAGG
rnacentral:rRNA from 1 species